rnacentral:misc_RNA from 1 species
CACUUUAUGCGAUUCUGCUGAUAGGAAAGGUUACGCUAGAGGAGAAAAGGAUAUUGAAUUAAAAUAGUUCUCUCCUCUACAAUAGAAACACUUAUUUAACACUGCGAAAUUCUAUUUAGAUCAAUUCUCAAUAAUGCAGAAAGUACCUUUGAAACAAGUUGUUCUCUUAGGCUCUACCUCACUUGUAAUUCUUUUGCAUAUUUUGUCUUUGGCUUUACCAUACUGGACCAAGACCCCAUAUUUAUAUAGUGGUCUCUUUAGAGUUUGUACUACCGUAAGCUCAGUCUCUGUGUGUGGGGAUGUUGAAUACAAGAAAGACGCAAUUAGAGCAGUUAUAGCCUUUAUGUUUAUUGGUCUGAUAGUCUUGAUAGCAGUUUUGGGUCUGAUCAUCGCAUUUUUAACUCUUUUGUCGAGUCAAUCAGAGCAAAGAAAGAAGAUAGGCCUUGCCAUUUCCUAUGGCGUAGCAGCCAUAUGCACAAUGAUAGCUUUUGCUAUUUAUGCUGGACAGCUUUCUGGAAAAAAUCUUCAUGCAAGCUUUGGUUUGUGCGUAACGAAUUUCAUUCUGCUUCUGGGUCUAAGUGGAGUGUCACUUGUAGAAUUUUAAACAAAGUAAAGUUAGCAGAAAGAAAGACGAAAAACUACAAGGUCAUAUUUUUUUUGUGGACGAAGCAGAAAAACUUAUUCUUAGUUUUCACUCUUUAUCUUCAUUCUCUCUCUUACUCUACCUUUUCUCAGAAAUCGACCUUAGCUUUCUUGUCCGUCGUUAACGAUUGAAAAAGAAACAUCACUUCAAUAGAUUAUUGACAGGAAAUAAAGAAAAACAGGAAAUUAAGACAAAGAAAGUGAUUCACUGAGAAAUAUUUGUUUUUUUUUUGAGAAAUAUAGAUUAAAGCAGUUAAAACUAA